rnacentral:rRNA from 1 species
ACCGUAGUUUACUACACCGUAUUCUGUGAGUUGCGAACGGGUGAGUAACGCGUAGGUAACCUGCCUGGUAGCGGGGGAUAACUAUUGGAAACGAUAGCUAAUACCGCAUAAGAACAUUUACUGCAUGGUAGAUGUUUAAAAGGUGCAAAUGCAUCACUACCAGAUGGACCUGCGUUGUAUUAGCUAGUAGGUGAGGUAACGGCUCACCUAGGCGACGAUACAUAGCCGACCUGAGAGGGUGAUCGGCCACACUGGGACUGAGACACGGCCCAGACUCCUACGGGAGGCAGCAGUAGGGAAUCUUCGGCAAUGGGGGGAACCCUGACCGAGCAACGCCGCGUGAGUGAAGAAGGUUUUCGGAUCGUAAAGCUCUGUUGUUAAGGAAGAACGAGUGUGAGAAUGGAAAGUUCAUACUGUGACGGUACUUAACCAGAAAGGGACGGCUAACUACGUGCCAGCAGCCGCGGUAAUACGUAGGUCCCGAGCGUUGUCCGGAUUUAUUGGGCGUAAAGCGAGCGCGGGCGGUUAGAUAAGUCUGAAGUUAAAGGCAGUGGCUCAACCAUUGUAGGCUUUGGAAACUGUUUAACUUGAGUGCAGAAGGGGAGAGUGGAAUUCCAUGUGUAGCGGUGAAAUGCGUAGAUAUAUGGAGGAACACCGGUGGCGAAAGCGGCUCUCUGGUCUGUAACUGACGCUGAGGCUCGAAAGCGUGGGGAGCGAACAGGAUUAGAUACCCUGGUAGUCCACGCCGUAAACGAUGAGUGCUAGGUGUUAGGUCCUUUCCGGGACUUAGUGCCGCAGCUAACGCAUUAAGCACUCC